rnacentral:rRNA from 1 species
AAAAAGCCUCUAAGCUUCAGUUACAGAGAGACCGUACCGCAAACCGACACAGGUGGGCAGGAUGAGAAUUCUAAGGCGCUUGAGAGAACUCAGGAGAAGGAACUCGGCAAAUUAGCACCGUAACUUCGGGAGAAGGUGCGCCCUGGUAGGUUGUAGUCCCUCGCGGACGAAGGCCGAAAGGGUUGCAGUGAAAUGGUGGCUGCGACUGUUUAAUAAAAACACAGCACUCUGCAAACACGAAAGUGGACGUAUAGGGUGUGACGCCUGCCCGGUGCCGGAAGGUUAAGUGAUGGGGUGCAAGCUCUUGAUCGAAGCCCCGGUAAACGGCGGCCGUAACGAUAACGGUCCUAAGGUAGCGAAAUUCCUUGCCGGGUAAGUUCUGACCUGCACGAAUGGCGUAACGAUGGCCACGCUGUCUCCUCCUGAGACUCAGCGAAGUUGAAAUGUUUGUGAAGAUGCAAUCUCCCCGCGGCAAGACGGAAAGACCCCAUGAACCUUUACUGUAGCUUUGCAUUGGACUUUGAACCGAUCUGUGUAGGAUAGGUGGGAGGCUAUGAAACCGGGACGCUAGUUCCGGUGGAGCCAACCUCGAAAUACCACCCUGGUUUGUUUGAGGUUCUAACCAUGGCCCGUGAAUCCGGGUCUGGGACCGUGCAUGGUAGGCAGUUUGACUGGGGCGGUCUCCUCCCAAAAGGUAACGGAGGAGUACGAAGGUACGCUAGGUACGGUCGGACAUCGUGCUAAUAGUGCAAUGGCAUAAGCGUGCUUGACUGCGAGACCCACAAGUCGAGCAGGUACGAAAGUAGGUCAUAGUGAUCCGGUGGUUCUGUAUGGAAGGGCCAUCGCUCAACGGAUAAAAGGUACUCUGGGGAUAACAGGCUGAUACCGCCCAAGAGUUCAUAUCGACGGCGGUGUUUGGCACCUCGAUGUCGGCUCAUCACAUCCUGGGGCUGUAGCCGGUCCCAAGGGUAUGGCUGUUCGCCAUUUAAAGUGGUACGUGAGCUGGGUUUAAAACGUCGUGAGACAGUUUGGUCCCUAUCUGCCGUGGGCGCUGGAAAUUUGAAGGGACCUGCUCCUAGUACGAGAGGACCGGAGUGGACGAACCUCUGGUGUACCGGUUAUGACGCCAGUCGUAUCGCCGGGUAGCUAAGUUCGGAAGAGAUAAACGCUGAAAGCAUCUAAGCGUGAAACUCGCCUUAAGAUAAGAUUUCCCCGGGGCCUCGAGCCCCCUGAAGGGUCGUCGAAGACCACGACGUUGAUAGGCUGGGUGUGGAAGCGCAGUAAUGCGUUAAGCUAACCAGUACUAAUUGCCCGUGCGGCUUGCU